UGUUGACGUCUUACUCGAGUCGUCGCUUUUUUUAACUUCGAAAUAGUUGAGCAUUUCGCCGGGAGUGGAAAGAAAUCAUGCUGCUUCUUCACUGGAUUUUGCCUUCAGCUUGUCUGGCGUUAACUUCUACAUGUCAGAACCAGGACGACUGCCCUGCCGGGGAGUACUGCGAGAACCGAUAUGCAUACACCUGCCAGUGCUUGGACAGUUAUGUCAGAGUUGGCGAAGCCUGUCUCCCUAAAGGCUACAAAGGAGAAGCUUGCGUCGACGACAGACAGUGUUCACAUGCUGGCUUCAUCUGCCACCAGUCGGUAUGCGGCUGCCCCGACGGACGAGAGAAACCGGACGGAACGUGUUCCAAAUCUGCCAAGUCAGAGUCAGUCUUUGACCCGGCGCUUCUUGGAAGCCGACAAACCGCCGGGGAAUCAUUCCAGCACCCAAAAUCAGCAGCUCCGGGAAAGUCCAGGCUGUCGGCGGUGGAUACACGGGCGCCAUCGCCAUCUGCGCUUUGGUCUUCAUCUGUUUCUCCGUUC